rnacentral:snRNA from 1 species
UUUAUCAGUUUCACUUCUUU